rnacentral:misc_RNA from 1 species
UCUCCGUUGGUGAACCAGCGGAGGGAUCAUUACCGAGUUUUCCAGAACUCCCAACCCCUGUGAACAUACCAUCGUUGCUUCGGCGGACUCGUCCCGGGCGCGCCCCAGCGCGUGACCCGGAGCCAGGCGGCCGCCGGGGGACCCAAACUCUUGUCUUUUUAGUGGAUUCUCUGAGUGGCACAAGCAAAUAAGUUAAAACUUUCAACAACGGAUCUCUUGGCUCUG